rnacentral:rRNA from 1 species
GACGAACGCUGGCGGCGUGCUUAACACAUGCAAGUCGAACGGAAAGGCACUGCUUUUGUGGGGUGCUCGAGUGGCGAACGGGUGAGUAACACGUGAGUAACCUGCCCUUGACUUUGGGAUAACUUCAGGAAACUGGGGCUAAUACCGGAUAGGAGCUCCUGCUGCAUGGUGGGGGUUGGAAAGUUUCGGCGGUUGGGGAUGGACUCGCGGCUUAUCAGCUUGUUGGUGGGGUAGUGGCUUACCCAGGCUUUGACGGGUAGCCGGCCUGAGAGGGUGACCGGCCACAUUGGGACUGAGAUACGGCCCAGACUCCUACGGGAGGCAGCAGUGGGGAAUAUUGCACAAUGGGCGGAAGCCUGAUGCAGCAACGCCGCGUGCGGGAUGACGGCCUUCGGGUUGUAAACCGCUUUCGCCUGUGACGAAGCGUGAGUGACGGUAAUGGGUAAAGAAGCACCGGCUAACUACGUG